rnacentral:misc_RNA from 1 species
AAGAAAUAGAGUCAGACAAUAACUAUAAUAAUGGUUGGGUUACCUGUCUGGGAGUCAGGGGUUAAUCUGGGUUGGCAGUAUAUUUAUAGAUCGCAUAAUAAAAUAAUAGGGUGCAGGACACCUCAGUAAGGAUUCAUAGAAAGGGGGUGCAUCAUUAUCAGAUAAUAUAUUAAUACAAAAAUACCGUAGGGGAAAGAUAAUAGUAAAGUAUUUAAGGAGUCAAUAUAAGUCGUACCUUUUGUAUCAGGGCUAAGCCAGAGGCUAAGAACAGAUAAUAGUUUCUUCUCGAAACCCAAAGAGCUACCUAUAGUCCUUUUAUUAGAAACAGAAUUGCAAGGUGUGGCAAAAUCUUACAUAAGAGAUAUAGGUUGCGGUUAGAUUCCAUUCGGGUUGGGUGAUAGCUAGUUUUAUCAAAAAUGCAUGUUAAUGCAGAGAUGGUGUUAAUUCCUUAGGGGUCAUUUUUUAACGGCUCUAGGAAAUAAUCAUUAUUUAGGUGUGUGAGGAUAAGCUCAUUCAUGAUAAAUGUAAUAAAUUACGUAGGGUAUUUAGUAUUGGGCUUGAAAGUGGUCAGAUAAUAAUUAGUUUGUUACAAAAUAAUUACCAUAUGUUACUACACUAUAAUAAUAAUUAUUAAUUUUAGUAGAUGAUAAAGAUAGGCAUAACUAUAGAGUAUACUAAAAUGCUUAGAUAAGUAUUAAAUAAAUUAAUUAAUAUUAGAAAAGUAAAACUAUAUUAAAAUAAAAAGAAUUAUCGGUAUAAUUUAGAGAAUAUAAAUAAAGGAAUUCGGCAAACUGAACCUUCACCUGUUUAGCAAAAACAUGGCUCCUUGAAUUAAAAUAAUAGGGAGUCAGGCCUGCCCAGUGUAUUUUAUAGAUAUAAACGGCCGCGGUACAUUGACCGUGCAAAGGUAGCGUAAUUAUUUGUUCAUUAAUUGUGGACUGGUAUGAAUGGUUUGAUGGGGGGUUAACUGUCUCUUUUUAUAUACAUAAAAAUUAACUUUUAGGUUAAAAGGCCUAAAUAAUUCACAAAGACGAGAAGACCCUAUGAGCUUAAUUAUAGUUGGCAAGUAAUUUUACAUAUAUUGUCAACGAAGGUUUGGUUGGGGCGACAGAAGAACAGGUAUAGCUUCUUUUUCUAAAAAGGAGACUGACAGGUGAUCCAGAUAAAAUAUCGAUCAGAGGAUYAAGUUACCGUAGGGAUAACAGCAUAAUCUUUCUUGAGAGUUCCUAUUGAAAGAGAGGUUUGUGACCUCGAUGUUGGACUAGGGUAUCCGGGGGGUGCAGGAGCUCCCAUAGGUUGGUCUGUUCGACCAUUAAAACCCU